rnacentral:lncRNA from 1 species
CACAGGGAAAUGAUCGGAGGUAACCCCUGGUCCCAACCAGGCCAGUGGUGUCACCAGGACUAGGGGAGGCCUCUCUGCAAAGAUGGUGCUGGCAACCACAGGCCACACCUAAUGUCUCAGAGCAAGAGAAGUGCUUUGGAGGAGCCCGGACUUUGCAUUCUAGAGCCUUGGACUUGAAUGAAGCAGCAGGCCUAGUGUCUUAGCAGUCAUGGCGACAGUGACAUUGGAAGUGGAGGCUCCACCGAUGCUCUUGGGAGCUUUGAGAGGAGCCCCAAUUACUGACGGAAUUGGACGGUGUGUGGAGAUGCUUCAGCAGCACAAGGGUAAGUGGAGGAGCAAGA